rnacentral:misc_RNA from 1 species
GUUUUUGAAGUGAAGGAUGCUGGUGUGUCCAGUCCAAAAAUAGAUAAUAAGAUUGAUCCUUCUGAAAAAAUAAUUAAGACUAGGGCAAACGAUAAUGCAACCCCGAAAAAGAGGGGAAGGCCAAAGCUAAAGGGCCGUCGUGGACGACCUACGAAGAUGCAAGGGAGAAAUGAAAUUUCCAGUCUGACAAGUAGCCAAACGAAUAAAUCGAGGGGUCCCAAGAGGGGCAUGAAUUAUGAAAAAGCAGAUGGUUCUGUUAGGAGCUCAAAACAUCUAAAUGUUAGUCAGACAAGUGGUGUGGAAGGGGUGGUUA